GAUGAACGCUGGCGGCGUGCCUAAUACAUGCAAGUCGAGCGAACGGACGAGAAGCUUGCUUCUCUGAUGUUAGCGGCGGACGGGUGAGUAACACGUGGAUAACCUACCUAUAAGACUGGGAUAACUUCGGGAAACCGGAGCUAAUACCGGAUAAUAUUUUGAACCGCAUGGUUCAAAAGUGAAAGACGGUCUUGCUGUCACUUAUAGAUGGAUCCGCGCUGCAUUAGCUAGUUGGUAAGGUAACGGCUUACCAAGGCAACGAUGCAUAGCCGACCUGAGAGGGUGAUCGGCCACACUGGAACUGAGACACGGUCCAGACUCCUACGGGAGGCAGCAGUAGGGAAUCUUCCGCAAUGGGCGAAAGCCUGACGGAGCAACGCCGCGUGAGUGAUGAAGGUCUUCGGAUCGUAAAACUCUGUUAUUAGGGAAGAACAUAUGUGUAAGUAACUGUGCACAUCUUGACGGUACCUAAUCAGAAAGCCACGGCUAACUACGUGCCAGCAGCCGCGGUAAUACGUAGGUGGCAAGCGUUAUCCGGAAUUAUUGGGCGUAAAGCGCGCGUAGGCGGUUUUUUAAGUCUGAUGUGAAAGCCCACGGCUCAACCGUGGAGGGUCAUUGGAAACUGGAAAACUUGAGUGCAGAAGAGGAAAGUGGAAUUCCAUGUGUAGCGGUGAAAUGCGCAGAGAUAUGGAGGAACACCAGUGGCGAAGGCGACUUUCUGGUCUGUAACUGACGCUGAUGUGCGAAAGCGUGGGGAUCAAACAGGAUUAGAUACCCUGGUAGUCCACGCCGUAAACGAUGAGUGCUAAGUGUUAGGGGGUUUCCGCCCCUUAGUGCUGCAGCUAACGCAUUAAGCACUCCGCCUGGGGAGUACGACCGCAAGGUUGAAACUCAGAGGAAUUGACGGGGACCCGCACAAGCGGUGGAGCAUGUGGUUUAAUUCGAAGCAACGCGAAGAACCUUACCAAAUCUUGACAUCCUUUGACAACUCUAGAGAUAGAGCUUUCCCCUUCGGGGGACAAAGUGACAGGUGGUGCAUGGUUGUCGUCAGCUCGUGUCGUGAGAUGUUGGGUUAAGUCCCGCAACGAGCGCAACCCUUAAGCUUAGUUGCCAUCAUUAAGUUGGGCACUCUAAGUUGACUGCCGGUGACAAACCGGAGGAAGGUGGGGAUGACGUCAAAUCAUCAUGCCCCUUAUGAUUUGGGCUACACACGUGCUACAAUGGACAAUACAAAGGGCAGCGAAACCGCGAGGUCAAGCAAAUCCCAUAAAGUUGUUCUCAGUUCGGAUUGUAGUCUGCAACUCGACUACAUGAAGCUGGAAUCGCUAGUAAUCGUAGAUCAGCAUGCUACGGUGAAUACGUUCCCGGGUCU
rnacentral:rRNA from 1 species